UAGGGAAUCUUCGGCAAUGGACGAAAGUCUGACCGAGCAACGCCGCGUGAGUGAAGAAGGUUUUCGGAUCGUAAAACUCUGUUGGUAGAGAAGAACGUUGGUGAGAGUGGAAAGCUCAUCAAGUGACGGUAACUGCCCAGAAAGGGACGGCUAACUACGUGCCAG
rnacentral:rRNA from 1 species